UCCGUAGUGGUCCAGUGGCUAGGAUUCGACGCUCUCACCGUCGCGGCCGGGGUUCGAUUCCCCGCUAUGGAA
rnacentral:tRNA from 2 species